rnacentral:rRNA from 1 species
UUGGAGGGCAAGUCUGGUGCCAGCAGCCGCGGUAAUUCCAGCUCCAAUAGCGUAUAUUAAAGUUGUUGCCGUUAAAAAGCUCGUAGUUGAACCUUGGACCUGGCUGAUCUGUCCUCCUAAUCGAGCGCACGGAUUCGGUCGGGUCUUUCCUUCUGGGGAGCCCUAUGCCCUUCACUGGGUGUAGUGGGGAACCAGGACUUUUACCUUGAAAAAAUUAGAGUGUUCAAAGCAGGCCUUUGCUCGAAUACAUUAGCAUGGAAUAAUAGAAUAGGACAUCGGUUCUAUUUUGUUGGUUUCUAGGACCGCUGUAAUGAUUAAUAGGGAUAGUCGGGGGCGUCAGUAUUCAAUUGUCAGAGGUGAAAUUCUUGGAUUUAUUGAAGACUAACUACUGCGAAAGCAUUCGCCAAGGAUGUUUUCAUUAAUCAGUGAACGAAAGUUAGGGGAUCGAAGACGAUCAGAUACCGUCGUAGUCUUAACCAUAAACUAUGCCGACUAGGGAUCGGACGGUGGUUUUUUUAUGCCCCGUUCGGCGCCUUACGGAAAC